CGAACAAAAAAAAGCAAAAGUGUGUACCAAAUGAUGCACUGCAACACCACUACUUGUACCAUGAGACUACCAGAGUACUCACCAUACAUAGCAAUUAACAAAGGAAUACCCAUCACCAAUGUAUUUGGUAGUGUUGAAAGUGAAAAAAUGGUAAUACUCCAUUCAAGGCUACCAUUUUUAGUUAAAUUAGCCCAUAAUGAAAGUACAACAAGCAUAAUCACUUUCUGCAGCGAAUCCGCCGCAAUGAAACGGAAAUUCAUCUCAUAUGGAUUGUUCAUAGCUAUGAAAUGGAAAGACAACAAAGGAACUGCAAAAAUAGCUACGAAUCUGUUGAUCCCUGAACAUUGAUCGGGAGAAAAGAUCUUCCACCAACGAACAGAACCAUAAGCUAAUAUCAUAGCAACAUACAGAGGAACAACUGCCGUUAACACAACAUACAG
rnacentral:misc_RNA from 1 species